GACGAACGCUGGCGGCGUGCUUAACACAUGCAAGUCGAGCGGUAAGGCCCUUUCGGGGGUACGACGAGCGGCGAACGGGUGAGCAACACGUGGGUGACCUGCCCUCAGCUCUGGGAGUAAGCCUGGGAAACUGGGUCUAAUACUGGAUAUGACUCCACGGUGCAUGUCGUGGGGUGGAAAGCCUUGUGCGGCUGAGGGUGGGCCCGCGGCCUAUCAGCUUGUUGGUGGGGUGAGGCCCUACCAAGGCGACGACGGGUAGCCGGCCUGAGAGGGCGACCGGCCACACU
rnacentral:rRNA from 1 species